rnacentral:sRNA from 1 species
AAUGCGAUUUCUUUCCACAUAUCAAACGGGUGCUCGACGAUGUUGUACAAUGCUUUUCCAGAAAAAUGCCAAGUCAAUAAGAGCCACGUUGAUGAGCACAACGGCAGCGGCAGAGGAGUCACGAAAAAUAGUGAAAGAAGAGGUUUUUGAGGUAAAAAAUGUGAAAAAAAAGGAAAAAAGAGAAAAAAAGAGGAAAAAAAACGAAAAAAAAAGGAAAAAAGAGGAAAAAAGGAAAAAAGAGGAAAAAGAGGAAAAAGGAAAAAAAUGAGAAAAAAAGGAAAAGAAAAGAGAAUUUUUUUUAAAGAGAAAAAAAUGAAAAAAAAAACAAAAAAGAAAGAAAAAAGAAAAAAAAUCAUUUUUUUUUCAUUUUUUUUUCUUUCUUUUCAUUCUUUCUUCAUUUUUUUUUCCUUUUUUUUUCUUCUUUUUUUCACUUUUCGUUAUAAAUAUUCUCUUAGACGUAAAAAAUCGUGAAAAUUUAGAAUUUUUCUGUCUCAAAGUCCAAUUUUCAGCAAGGGAAAAAAACGGAAAAAAAUGAAAAAAGAAAAGAAAAGAGGAAAAAAAGGUAAAAAGAACGAAAAAAAAAUGAAAAUAGAAAAGAAAAGAGGAAAAUAACGAAAAAAAAAACAAAAAAAAUGAAAAAAAAUUUUUAAAAAAUGAAAAGAAAGAGAAAAAAAAAUGAAAAAAGGAAGAAAAAAAACGAAAAAAGAAAGAAAAAAAACAAAAAAGGAAGAAAAAAAUCAAAAAAGAAAGAACAAAACAAAAAAAAAUGAAAAGAAAGAGAAAAAAAAACGAAAAAAGAAAAGAAAAAAAUGAAAAAAAAUGAAAAGAAAGGGGAAAAAAAACGAAAAAAAAAAUGAAAAAAGGAAGAAAAAAAAAGAAAAUUUUCCUUUUUUUUUGCUUUUCCCCCAUUUUUCAUUCCAAAACCGCGAAAAUGUCCAAUUUUUUUUUCAGUUAGAUGGUCGAAAAUACACUCCAGACGCAUUAUACAACCUGUCACCAGGUGUUCGACGGCUUUUGGAUCGCCGUAUCCUCCAAGAAUCUUCGAAUCCGCUGAAUUUGUUGAAAAGAAGAAUUGUCGAUUAUGUACAUCAAACAUACAGAAAACCAGG